GUGCACAGGGCUCUGACCUAUGAAUUGACAGCCAGUACUCUGGUUUUUCCUCUGGCUGCCAAUUCCAUAGGUCACAGGUAUGUUCGCC
rnacentral:miRNA from 1 species